rnacentral:rRNA from 1 species
AGAGGCCCAAGUUGAUAAAUACCGGCGUAAAAAGUGGUUAGUACUAUAUUUUACUAAAGCCAAACAUCUUCAAAACUGUCAUACGUUCUCGAGGGCAGGAAGCUCUUCUACGAAAGUGGCUUUAAAUGAUACACUCCACGAAAGCUAGGAAACAAACUGGGAUUAGAUACCCCACUAUGCCUAGCCUUAAACAAAGGUGACUACUUUACACCUAUCGCUUGCCAGGGAACUACGAGCCCCA